rnacentral:lncRNA from 1 species
CUGUUUUUUUGCAUCCGUCCAUCAGGAUACUCUUAGCAAUGCUUGAGCAUACUUGGUAGCCGACUCCAAGCAGUGCAAGAAAGUGCAGUCACUUUUAUUUUAUCCUGGAGUUAUCUGCCUUAGUCCUCAUCCCUAUGGAAGUCUCUUCCCUGGCUGUGAACUGCCUCAUUUGAUUCCCUGGAUUUUUAGUCUCUGUUGCUGCCCCCAGGCUACACAUCAGAUGAGUGCCCUUGACCUUGAAGGAUGGGAAGACCACAGCAGUUGAGCUUCAAUGACCCCCAUUGCCACUUCACUCUCCAAGCUGGCCAUUGCUUUUCAUAAAGCACCGCAAAACUUAGUGUCUUUAAAAACAACACUAAAUCACAUUGUUCUCAAAUCGAGCGUUCUUAGGGUUCAGGUCAUCAGCUCACCCCAGGGGAAUGUUGGACAACUGAGUCUGCAGCCAUCUGUACAAUGAUGAAACCAAGGUUGAGCAUCUUGGGAGGAGUGUGGGGUAGAAAGGUAAAACACAGUUCCUGGUUGGAUUAAGGAAGGCACACGGUGACAGGAUUUGGCAGCCCACUGGGGAUGUCUGGCCAUGUCUAAGGUUUGGAAGAUGACAAUUCUUUUUUUUUUUUUUAGAGUAUUUUAUUUUAUUUUAUUUUAUUUUUCAGUAACUUCUUUUUUUAAA